UACGUAGGGGGCGAGCGUUGUCCGGAUUUAUUGGGCGUAAAGAGCUCGUAGGCGGUUCGAUAAGUCGGACGUGAAAUCUCCACGCUCAACGUGGAGGGGCCGUUCGAUACUGUCGUGACUCGAGUCCGGUAGGGGAGUGUGGAAUUCCCGGUGUAGCGGUGAAAUGCGCAGAUAUCAGGAAGAACACCCGUGGCGAAGGCGGCUCUCUGGGACGGUACUGACGCUGAGGUGCGAAAGCGUGGGGAGCAAACAGG
rnacentral:rRNA from 1 species